GACGAACGCUGGCGGCGUGCUUAACACAUGCGAGUCGAACGGAAAGGCCCUGCUUUUGUGGGGUGCUCGAGUGGCGAACGGGUGAGUAACACGUGAGUAACCUCCCCUUGACUUUGGGAUAACUUCAGGAAACUGGGGCUAAUACCGGAUAGGAGCUCCUGCUGCAUGGUGGGGGUUGGAAAGUUUCGGCGGUUGGGGCUGGACUCGCGGCUUAUCAGCUGGUUGGUGGGGUAGUGGCUUACCAAGGCUUUGACGGGUAGCCGGCCUGAGAGGGUGACCGGCCACAUUGGGACUGAGAUACGGCCCAGACUCCUACGGUAGGCAGCAGUGGGGAAUAUUGCACAAUGGGCGGAAGCCUGAUGCAGCAACGCCGCGUGCGGGAUGACGGCCUUCGGGUUGUAAACCGCUUUCGCCUGUGACGAAGCGUGAGUGUCGGUAAUGGGUAAAGAAGCACCGGCUAACUACGUG
rnacentral:rRNA from 1 species